rnacentral:rRNA from 1 species
AGAAUCAACGCUGGCGGCGUGCCUCAGACAUGCAAGUCGAACGCGAAAGUCCCCUUCGGGGGAUUAGUAGAGUGGCGCACGGGUGAGUAACACGUAGGUAAUCUACCUUCGGAUGGGGAAUAACAACCGGAAACGGUUGCUAAUACCGCAUAAUGCAGCGGCACCUAAUGGUGACAGUUGUUAAAGCGGGGGAUCGAAAGACCUCGCGUCUGAAGAGGAGCCUGCGGCGGAUUAGCUAGUUGGUAAGGUAAUGGCUUACCAAGGCUACGAUCC